rnacentral:rRNA from 1 species
CAAUAACAUGUAGCAUGGGAUAAUGGAAUAGGACCCUGUCCUCCUAUUUUCAGUUGGUUUUGGCAGCGCGAGGACUAGGGUAAUGAUUAAUAGGGAUAGUUGGGGGCAUUAAUAUUUAAUUGUCAGAGGUGAAAUUCUUGGAUUUAUGAAAGAUUAACUUCUGCGAAAGCAUCUGCCAAGGAUGUUUUCAUUAAUCAAGAACGAAAGUUAGGGGAUCGAAGACGAUCAGAUACCGUCGUAGUCUUAACCAUAAACGAUGCCGACCAGCGAUUAGGAGACGUUGAAUACAAAACACCACCAUCGGCGCGGUCGUCCUUGGCGUCUCGCGUUCGCGCGCGGCGCGAGGGCGGCUUACCCCGGUGGCACCGGUGAAUGACUCCCCUAGCAGCUUGUGAGAA